rnacentral:rRNA from 1 species
UAAGGUGACUAUAGCGGCAGGGUCCACCUCUUCCCAUUCCGAACAGAGUCGUUAAGCCUGCCAGCGCAGAUGGUACUGGGGUAAAACCCGGGAGAGUAUGUCGUCGCCACCU